GGGGGGUUGGUGUGGGGGAGCGAUAAUGAGAUCCAAUGGGCUUGAUUAGGACAUUGGGAAUUGGGGAGGGGAGAUCCUAACCUUGAUUAAUCUUGGUGACUAGCAUAUCUCAACAUCAGUCAUCAGGCCAAGGUGCAACUCUGCAAUUUUCUUUUUGGAAUAAACGUAGUAGUGCCUUUAUAUGCUUUAGAGAUACAAAUAAUAAAAGAAACAUACUUGAUAUAUUUGUUUUGUGAAAAGCACUUUUAAGUGGAAAUGGAAAAUUGAAGUAAGGCCCCCCAAAGAGUAAAAGAAUAUUGAAAAGUUUCCAACGAACAGAAGACGUGCCAGAGAUCAUCUGCUAAAACCUUGGUGAUAUGUCAUUAUAAUUGUCCCCGAAAUAGUCAUUAUCGAGUAGAUGACACUGUUUUUGCAGUCCCUAGAUUUAUCUAACAGAGAAGUUUUCAUUUUUGUUUACGGAAUGAAUAUAAAGUGGGAUAUAUUGUCAUUUGAAGCACAAUCUAAGUGUUUUCCUUUUUAUGCUGAACUUAAUUGCAUAUAAGCAUGUGAAAUGACAGUUUGUAUCAGGUGAUGCAAAAUGCUUACCUUGAAAUGUGUGCUUGACUGCAGAGAAAUGCACCUUUCUGUUACACUGCACUGAAAUUUUGGUUAUUAUUUUUGUUACUGGUGGUGCCCAUGAGUGUGUGCUGUUUUAGUAUGUGCAAAAAUGCUUUAAGAGAAUAUGACUUGAAUCAAAAGGAGUGUUAAAAAUUCUAGUCAGUGCAUUAUGCUAUUUGCGCUCCCCCACACCACACCCCACCCCCCCCUCCUCUCCUCCCCUCUUCUUGUAGAGUUUUCUAGUUGAUUAGACUAUACUGUUGCUUAUUUCCUUCUUCCUAACUACAAUAGUUUUAACUCACUGAUGGUUACUUAUUUUCCUUUGUCUACAGAUUUUCAUUGUUGGAAUUGGAAUUUGGUUCACUUGUUAUUAUGCCUCAUCACAACAUUUAUUAGACAUAAUAACAUUACUUCUUGUUAACAAGGUGGUAGGGGAAUUUUGUAUCAAGCAUGUGGUCCACAUGAAAAUAGUGCACCUUCAUCUCAUAAUUGUACAUGAUCCAUCUAUGAAUUUAGCAUGUGAUUCGACAUGAAUGUGGGAAGAAAGUGCACUAUUUUCAUGUGCACCAUAGGCUCCAAAUAAUUCCUCUUGUUGGGCAGGAUAGUUCGCCAAUCUUUAUCAUUGAUGUAUGAAAGGCAAUUUGUGAUAACUUCAUUGUUUGUUCCAUUUAUAAUGCAUGAAGUUACUGAGUUACAACUCAUGCUCUAGGUUUGGAAAGUUCUGUGGAAUUGUGACAGCAGAAUCAUUUGCUGCAUCUGCUAUGGGUCUAACUGUGGGAGCUAUGGUUCCAACCACUGAAGCAGCAAUGGCACUAGGACCAUCUCUUAUGACAGUUUUUAUUGUAUUUGGGGGGUAUUAUGUUAAUGCAGAUAAUACACCAAUCAUCUUCCGAUGGAUACCUAAUG
rnacentral:misc_RNA from 1 species